GACGAACGCUGGCGGCGUGCUUAGCACAUGCAAGUCGAGCGGAAAGGCCCUUCGGGGUACUCGAGCGGCGAACGGGUGAGUAACACGUGAGUAACCUGCCCCAGACUUUGGGAUAACCCUCGGAAACGGGGGCUAAUACCGGAUACGACACAGCUUCGCAUGGGGUCUGUGUGGAAAGUUUUUCGGUUUGGGAUGGGCUCGCGGCCUAUCAGCUUGUUGGUGGGGUGAUGGCCUACCAAGGCGACGACGGGUAGCCGGCCUGAGAGGGCGACCGGCCACACUGGGACUGAGACACGGCCCAGACUCCUACGGGAGGCAGCAGUGGGGAAUAUUGCACAAUGGGCGGAAGCCUGAUGCAGCGACGCCGCGUGAGGGAUGACGGCCUUCGGGUUGUAACCUCUUUCAGCAGGGACGAAGCGUAAGUGACGGUACCUGCAGAAGAAGCGCCGGCCAACUACGUG
rnacentral:rRNA from 1 species